UGCCAGCAGCCGCGGUAAUACGGAGGGAGCUAGCGUUGUUCGGAAUUACUGGGCGUAAAGAGCGUGUAGGCGGUUUGUUAAGUUGAGAGUGAAAGCCCGGGGCUUAACCCCGGAACUGCUCUCAAAACUGGCAUACUAGAGAUAGGUAGGGGACAAUGGAAUUCCUAGUGUAGGGGUGAAAUCCGUAGAUAUUAGGAGGAACACCAGAGGCGAAGGCGAUUGUCUGGGCCUUAUCUGACGCUGAGACGCGAAAGCGUGGGGAGCAAACAGGAUUAGAUA
rnacentral:rRNA from 1 species